rnacentral:tRNA from 1 species
GGCUGUAGCUCAGAGGAAAAGCACUUGCCUCCCAUGUGUGAGGAGCUGGGUUCGAUCCUCAGCACCA